UACGUAGGCAGCGAGCGUUGUUCGGAGUUACUGGGCGUAAAGGGUGUGUAGGCGGUUGUUUAAGUUUGGUGUGAAAUCUCCCGGCUCAACUGGGAGGGUGCGCCGAAUACUGAAUGACUUCGAGUGCGGGAGAGGUGAGUGGAAUUCCUGGUGUAGCGGUGAAAUGCGUAGAGAUGUGGAGGAACACCGAUGGCGAAGGCAGCCUCCUGGGCCAGCACUGACGCUGAGGUGCGAAAGCAUGGGGAGCAAACAGG
rnacentral:rRNA from 1 species